rnacentral:rRNA from 1 species
GACGAACGCUGGCGGCGUGCUUAACACAUGCAAGUCGAACGGAAAGGCCCUGCUUUUGUGGGGUGCUCGAGUGGCGAACGGGUGAGUAACACUUGAGUAACCUGCCCUUGACUUUGGGAUAACUUCAGGAAACUGGGGCUAAUACCGGAUAUGAGCUCCUGCUGCAUGGUGGGGGUUGGAAAGUUUCGGCGGUUGGGGAUGGACUCGCGGCUUAUCAGCUUGUUGGUGGGGUAGUGGCUUACCAAGGCUUUGACGGGUAGCCGGCCUGAGAGGGUGACCGGCCACAUUGGGACUGAGGGACGGACCAGACUCCUACGGGAGGCAGCAGUGGGGAAUAUUGCACAAUGGGCGGAAGCCUGAUGCAGCAACGCCGCGGGCGGGAUGACGGCCUUCGGGUGGUAAACCGCUUUCGCCUGUGACGAAGCGUGAGUGACGGUAAUGGGUAAAGAAGCACCGGCUAACUACGUG